GGCCUACCAGGGGAUGAGCUAGCCGAGUUGAGAACNAUUGGCCCAAUGGGANUGGACCCGGCCCANAUUCCUACGGAGGCAGCAGUAGGAAUCUUCCCCAAUGGCGCAAGCUGAUGAGCAACACGGGNNAGGAAGAAGGUUUCGGCUCGUAAAGCUCUGUUGUUAAAGAAGAACACGUAUGAGAGUAACUGUUCAUACGUUGACGGUAUUUAACCAGAAAGUCACGGCUAACUACGUGCCAGCAGCCGCGGUAAUACGUAGGUGGCAAGCGUUAUCCGGAUUUAUUGGGCGUAAAGAGAGUGCAGGCGGUUUUCUAAGUCUGAUGUGAAAGCCUUCGGCUUAACCGGAGAAGUGCAUCGGAAACUGGAUAACUUGAGUGCAGAAGAGGGUAGUGGAACUCCAUGUGUAGCGGUGGAAUGCGUAGAUAUAUGGAAGAACACCAGUGGCGAAGGCGGCUACCUGGUCUGCAACUGACGCUGAGACUCGAAAGCAUGGGUAGCGAACAGGAUUAGAUACCCUGGUAGUCCAUGCCGUAAACGAUGAGUGCUAGGUGUUGGAGGGUUUCCGCCCUUCAGUGCCGGAGCUAACGCAUUAAGCACUCCGCCUGGGGAGUACGACCGCAAGGUUGAAACUCAAAGGAAUUGACGGGGGCCCGCACAAGCGGUGGAGCAUGUGGUUUAAUUCGAAGCUACGCGAAGAACCUUACCAGGUCUUGACAUCUUGCGCCAACCCUAGAGAUAGGGCGUUUCCUUCGGGAACGCAAUGACAGGUGGUGCAUGGUCGUCGUCAGCUCGUGUCGUGAGAUGUUGGGUUAAGUCCCGCAACGAGCGCAACCCUUGUUACUAGUUGCCAGCAUUAAGUUGGGCACUCUAGUGAGACUGCCGGUGACAAACCGGAGGAAGGUGGGGACGACGUCAGAUCAUCAUGCCCCUUAUGACCUGGGCUACACACGUGCUACAAUGGACGGUACAACGAGUCGCGAACUCGCGAGGGCAAGCAAAUCUCUUAAAACCGUUCUCAGUUCGGACUGCAGGCUGCAACUCGCCUGCACGAAGUCGGAAUCGCUAGUAAUCGCGGAUCAGCAUGCCGCGGUGAAUACGUUCCCGGGCCUUGUACACACCGCCCGUCACACCAUGAGAGUUUGUAACACCCAAAGUCGGUGGGGUAACCUUUAGGAGCCAGCCGCCUAAGGNGACAG
rnacentral:rRNA from 1 species